rnacentral:rRNA from 1 species
GAUGAACGCUAGCGGCAGGCCUAACACAUGCAAGUCGAGGGGUAGAGGAAGCUUGCUUCCUUGAGACCGGCGCACGGGUGCGUAACGCGUAUGCAAUCUACCUUAUACAGGGGAAUAGCCCAGAGAAAUUUGGAUUAAUGCCCCAUAGUGUUAUUGAAUCGCAUGGUUUAAUAACUAAAGUUCCAACGGUAUAAGAUGGGCAUGCGUCCUAUUAGCUAGAUGGUGAGGUAACGGCUCACCAUGGCUACGAUAGGUAGGGGGCCUGAGAGGGUAGUCCCCCACACUGGUACUGAGACACGGACCAGACUCCUACGGGAGGCAGCAGUGAGGAAUAUUGGUCAAUGGGCGCAAGCCUGAACCAGCCAUGCCGCGUGAAGGAAGAAGGUUCUAUGGAUUGUAAACUUCUUUUAUUUAGGAAGAUAAUGACGGUACUAUAUGAAUAAGCACCGGCUAACUCCGUG